GGCGGUGGCUGCCGUGGCGGCUGAGAGUCCAGAGCCGGACGUUCCGGCCGCUUCGGGCUGGCGGCUGGAGAGCGCUCGGGUCAUGUCUGCCCAGGGGGACUGCGAGUUCCUGGUGCAGCGAGCCCGGGAGUUGGUGCCGCAAGACCUGUGGGCAGCCAAGGCGUGGCUGAUCACGGCCCGCAGCCUCUACCCGGCAGACUUUAACAUCCAGUAUGAGAUGUACACCAUCGAGCGGAAUGCAGAGCGGACCGCCACCGCCGGGAGGCUGCUGUACGACAUGUUUGUGAAUUUCCCAGACCAGCCGGUGGUGUGGAGAGAAAUCAGCAUUAUUACAUCAGCAUUAAGGAACGAUUCACAGGACAAACAAACCCAAUUUUUAAGAAGUUGGCCUUGGGGAGGCACUAUUAGAGGCUGAAACUAUUGAAGAACAAGAAUCUCCAGUGAACUGCUUUAGAAAAUUAUUUG
rnacentral:sRNA from 1 species